rnacentral:rRNA from 1 species
GACGAACGCUGGCGGCGUGCUUAACGCAUGCAAGUCGAACGGAAAGGCCCUGCUUUUGUGGGGUGCUCGAGUGGCGAACGGGUGAGUAACACCUGAGUAACCUGCCCUUGACUUUGGGAUAACUUCAGGAAACUGGGGCUAAUACCGGAUAGGAGCUCCUGCUGCAUGGUGGGGGUUGGAAAGUUUCGGCGGUUGGGGAUGGACUCGCGGCUUAUCAGCUUGUUGGUGGGGUAGUGGCUUACCAAGGCUUUGACGGGUAGCCGGCCUGAGAGGGUGACCGGCCACAUUGGGACUGAGAUACGGCCCAGACUCCUACGGGAGGCAGCAGUGGGGAAUAUUGCACAAUGGGCGGAAGCCUGAUGCAGCAACGCCGCGUGCGGGAUGACGGCCUUCGGGUUGUAAACCGCUUUCGCCUGUGACGAAGCGUGAGUGACGGUAAUGGGUAAAGAAGCACCGGCUAACUACGUG